rnacentral:rRNA from 1 species
UACGUAGGGUGCGAGCGUUGUCCGGAAUUAUUGGGCGUAAAGAGCUUGUAGGCGGUCUGUCGCGUCUGCUGUGAAAAUCCGGGGCUCAACCCCGGACUUGCAGUGGGUACGGGCAGACUAGAGUGUGGUAGGGGAGACUGGAAUUCCUGGUGUAGCGGUGAAAUGCGCAGAUAUCAGGAGGAACACCGAUGGCGAAGGCAGGUCUCUGGGCCUUACCUGACGCUGAGGAGCGAAAGCGUGGGGAGCGAACAGG